rnacentral:rRNA from 1 species
CCUACGGGUGGCUGCAGUGAGGAAUAUUGGUCAAUGGCCGGAAGGCUGAACCAGCCAAGCCGCGUGAAGGACGAAGGUGCCAAGCAUUGUAAACUUCUUUUGUCAAGGGACAAAAUCAGGCUCGAGAGCCUGACCGAGGGUACUUGAAGAAAAAGCAUCGGCUAACUCCGUGCCAGCAGCCGCGGUAAUACGGGGACUGCGAUCGUUAUCCGGAUUUUUUGGGUUAAAAGGGUGCGUAGGCGGACCGUUAAGUCAGCGGGAAAAGCCCGGGGGGCAACCCCGGCGAGCCGUUGAAACUGGCUGUCUUGAGAUGUCGAGAGGUAUGCGGAAUGCGCAGGGUAGCGGUGAAAUGCUUAGAUAUUGCGCAGAACUCCGAUUGCGAAGGCAGCAUACCGGCGGCGAUCUGACGCUGAGGCACGAAAGCGUGGGUAUCGAACAGGAUUAGAUACCCUUGUAGUC